UGUUACAGUUAGUUUGUUUGUUAUUGUUAUUUUGUUGUUGUUUUAUAGUGAGGAGACUUUUACUACGAGUUUCCUGAUUCAAAAAAUGAGGAUUAGUGUCCUACGUCAGGUAAAGUAUUUCCCAUUGAAUAGAUUUUUUUUUAAAUUUGGUAAGUUGCACCAGCGAUUCUGGAACGAUCUUGGCUGAUUUUCGCUCUUCGUUUGCCAUUAACCAUCAAGCUCUAAAUUAAGCCAUAUCGGCGCCGUAACGGUAAAAAAUGGUUUGAAAUCACCAGGAACCAUUUGUAGCCACCAAAAGCCUGGCAAUGCCCCGGCUGGUGCAUGACGUCAUGCCUAGUUUUCUAACUGCCCUAACCCUAUGGAAUUCGACAUCAAAAAAUAGUAGAGAAAAGGUACAAUUUGGGAUUUUUUUUUCCUGAUGGGAUAAAUUAAAUAGGACCCAGACGUCUUCCCAUGUAUUAUACGUGUAUAUGUGUACAUGUAUUCAAGUAUAUUCGUUGGGUCUACUGUGUGCGAAUGGACGUGAUCAAGUUGACUUGAUAAAAAAUGUUGAUGUAAGAGUAACAUAAAAAAAAUUGUGUCAAAAUGAUAUUUGAAUUUCAAACAAGAUCAAAGCUUCCCAAAUUGCCUUACAUUCGGAUAAUAGAAACUUAUGUGACUACUCGAGGUUCAUGCCUUAAACCAGCAUCAAGAUACCCAUGUCACGUUCCGCGCACUUUUGAAUAGCUUAGCUAAUGUGGUCACUGAAACGAGGAGCUAUUGUAGCGGUGCGUGCCGUCUUUUCAACGCUUAUGCUAAAGAUUUUCUUUUCCUAUUAAAGAACCUAUACUAGACCUGAAGGAUUCGUGAAAAUAUUUCAGAAAUCCUGAAACAUCAUGCACUUACCUCGUUUGAUUUCCAUUUCACCAAUUCUUCAAAGUUACAUAAAAUUGUAUUAUAUCAUUUUCUUUUUCUAAUUUUCAGCCAGACAUUUAAAAGAGAACGACAACAGGAAGCUUUAUGCGGUAAUACAUCCAGAAGCUUCACUUCCAUAAAAGCCAGCAUAUGUUCACGUGAAACGGCGCCCACCAGACGAUAUUACCUCAGUUUGCCUUUCAUUUUUUCCCCCUAGCAAAUGGAAACGAAGUGGAACGUUUCCGGCAAAGACCAUUGACCUCUACCAGGCGUUCGUUGGUUUUCAAGCUGUUACCAAGGCUAUAUAAUACUAAUUCGAAGGUUAUGCUUGAGGCCUAGGAAUAAACAGCCAACUCAGAGAUCCUAACGUGAGACAUUAUUCGUUCACCACCUUAAUCUAAAUAGAAAUUGUUGCCGGAUUUCGAUGACAGCAGGAGAGUAUUUUAAACAAUCAUUAAUAAUGAAAAGGAAGCACAAUGCUAGGUGAAACGCAGAAAAAGGAUCAAAGUUUUCAUUUUGAUAAUGCUAAAAAUGGAAACCAGUAGCUCACCGCAUCACCAUUUAUUCGAGAGCAAACUGCGCUUGAAGAUCAGAAGCGGAAGAAAAUGGACUAUGACGUCAAUUCAUGAUGGCAUUAUAAAGCAAAGGAACAAGUGAAGGGCUAGAGAUCGAUGAGCCAUCGCAUUUCCCUCGCCAAUUUCAUUUAACGAAAUCAAACCGUCCACUGCUCAGCUGCUGCGAGAAUAAAAAAGAAAUUCAAAAAGAAAGGCCGGCCAAAACGAGUUUCUAGAUCCUACUGUCGCUAUACGAUAAAGCAAGGGCGCAUGCAUGUCAUGUUGUAAUGAAAUGUUCUUCUACGACGUUUUGUUUGAUGUUGACUCCAUGGUUCUGAAGGGAAGAUGUAUAGUGUGGGCCAGUGGAAGGCUGGCGUCUUAUUACGCGAACAACGACGACACUAUGAAGUCAUCUUGUUUCUUGUUCUCCUGUCUGCUUUUCUAUUUAUUCACCGUUUCAUAUCCAACUAAUAUCUGAACGUGCAUAGGCUUCUCUAAAAAAAAGGCCAUCGUUUUUCUUGCUCGGGUAUUGUGUGACGUACUUUUCACGUUUCCCUUUUCGUUUGGAAAUUCCUUUGAGUCUUCAGGGGCGGAAUCUUGUAUUCCUUUUGAAGCUAAUUAAUCACGUGAACAGUUUCUUUUUCAUAAUAGAGAUUGCCAUGCUGAAAUAGGGAGUCCUUUAUGAAGGACAGACUAGCAUGAUCAA